UGAAUUGACGGGGCCCGCACAAGCGGUGGAGCAUGUGGUUUAAUUCGACGCAACGCGAAGAACCUUACCAGGGCUUGACAUCCCCUGACCGCGUAUGAAAGUACGUUUUCACCUUCGGGAACCGUGAGACAGGUGCUGCAUGGCUGUCGUCAGCUCGUGUUGUGAAAUGUUGGGUUAAGUCCCGCAACGAGCGCAACCCUUAUCCUUUGUUGCCAGCGGUCCGGCCGGGAACUCAAAGGAGACUGCCAGUGAUAAACUGGAGGAAGGUGGGGAUGACGUCAAGUCAUCAUGGCCCUUACGACCAGGGCUACACACGUGCUACAAUGGCGCAUACAAAGAGAAGCGACCUCGCGAGAGCAAGCGGACCUCAUAAAGUGCGUCGUAGUCCGGAUUGGAGUCUGCAACUCGACUCCAUGAAGUCGGAAUCGCUAGUAAUCGUGGAUCAGAAUGCCACGGUGAAUACGUUCCCGGGCCUU
rnacentral:rRNA from 1 species